AAGGAAGAAUCCUCUGAGAACAAAGCAGGGUGGAGUGUACAAAAGGAGAGAAGAUGCUGUACAAUGGUUGGCCACAGAAUUUCCUUUUCAGGUUGGAGCAAAACUUCAGAACUUCAUUCAGCUUUUGCCUGAAGAAUCUGUCCUGAAACUGAAGAGCACCAAGCUUCUUGAUUAAGUAUAAUGCUCCUGUGAAAGAAAACGAUAUCUGCAUAAGAAGAACAAUGCUUGAAAUAAGUACUUGUGAAAACUAUGUAAGCUUUUAGUCAUUAAAUGAUUCCUAAAUGUGG